GACGUAGGAUGCAAGCGUUAUCCGGAAUUAUUGGGCGUAAAGAGUUCGUAGACGAACUGUUAAGUAGAAUGUUAAAGACCAGGGCCUAACCCUGGCAAGGUGUUCUAAACUGGCAGAAUAGAGCAAUUCAGAGGCAAGUGGAAUUCUGUGUGUAGGGGUAAUAUCCGUAGAUAUACAGAGGUACACCAAAAGCGAAGGCAGCUUGCUGGGAAUUUGCUGACGUUCAAGAACGAAAGCGUGGGUAGCAAACAGG
rnacentral:rRNA from 1 species